GACGAACGCUGGCGGCGUGCUUAACACAUGCAAGUCGAACGGAAAGGCCCUGCUUUUGUGGGGUGCUCGAGUGGCGAACGGGUGAGUAACACGUGAGUAACCUGCCCUUGACUUUGGGAUAACUUCAGGAAACUGGGGCUAAUACCGGAUAGGAGCUCCUGCUGCAUGGUGGGGGUUGGAAAGUUUCGGCGGUUGGGGAUGGACUCGCGGCUUAUCAGCUUGUUGGUGGGGUAGUGGCUUACCAAGGCUUUGACGGGUAGCCGGCCUGAGAGGGUGACCGGCCACAUUGGGACUGAGAUACGGCCCAGACUCCUACGGGAGGCAGCAGUGGGGAAUAUUGCACAAUGGGCCGAAGCCUGAUGAAGCAACGCCGCGUGCGGGAUGACGGCCUUCGGGUUGUAAACCGCUUUCGCCUGUGACGAAGCGUGAGUGACGGUAAUGGGUAAAGAAGCACCGGCUAACUACGUG
rnacentral:rRNA from 1 species